AAAUGCGAUAAGUAAUGUGAAUUGCAGAAUUCAGUGAAUCAUCGAAUCUUUGAACGCACAUUGCGCCCGCCAGCACUCUGGCGGGCAUGCCUGUUCGAGCGUCAUUUCAACCCUCAGAACCCCUUGCGGGAUCUGGCGUUGGGGAUUGGCAUCCAGCCAGCCCCGAAAUCUAGUGGCGGUCCCUCCGCGACCUCCCCUGUGCAGUAGCGAUACCUCGCAGCGGGACAGCGGUCUGACCACGCCGUAAAACCCCCAACUUCUCAAGGUUGACCUCGAAUCAGGUAUGAAUACCCGCUGAACUUAAGC
rnacentral:misc_RNA from 1 species